UUGUAGCUACAACUUCCCGUUGGUGUCUUAUUUGAUUGACUAACAGUGUAUAAGGUGCAAAGUGCAUCAGUUCUAGGCCCUUUUAGGUAUCGUUGGAGUGUUGAAAAAAGUAUUUUUUUCUUACAGUCCAAAUUUAAUGUUGUAGAUUCUUUAGUGAGGACACUCAGUAGAACAGGGGCCUUGUACAAUUUUUCUAAUGCUUUGAUUGAUCCUGACCGAGUCUGUACAACACCAAUUACAUAAUACUGGAAACCACUUGCAGAAGAUGUAGCACUUUCAUUUCCCUUUCAUUGUCAUUUUGCACAUAUGGUUCAUCCAUCUUUUUUUAAAAAAAUACAUCAGCUUAUUAGCACAGCGCUCUAAUACUGAUUAUUGAAUGCUGAAUAGGUUGCAACUUGCUGAUCGUUUCUUGUUUGGUGACUUGCUAAUAGUGCUAGGCUAUUAGAAUUCUGUAAUAGAUUAGUUUGUAUUAAUGAAACAUAGUAUGUGAAA